GAUGAACGCUGGCGGCGUGCCUAAUACAUGCAAGUCGAGCGAACAGAUAAGGAGCUUGCUCCUCUGACGUUAGCGGCGGACGGGUGAGUAACACGUGGGUAACCUACCUAUAAGACUGGGAUAACUUCGGGAAACCGGAGCUAAUACCGGAUAAUAUUUUGAACCGCAUGGUUCUAAAGUGAAAGAUGGUUUUGCUAUCACUUAUAGAUGGACCCGCGCCGUAUUAGCUAGUUGGUAAGGUAACGGCUUACCAAGGCAACGAUACGUAGCCGACCUGAGAGGGUGAUCGGCCACACUGGAACUGAGACACGGUCCAGACUCCUACGGGAGGCAGCAGUAGGGAAUCUUCCGCAAUGGGCGAAAGCCUGACGGAGCAACGCCGCGUGAGUGAUGAAGGGUUUCGGCUCGUAAAACUCUGUUAUUAGGGAAGAACAAACGUGUAAGUAACUGUGCACGUCUUGACGGUACCUAAUCAGAAAGCCACGGCUAACUACGUG
rnacentral:rRNA from 1 species